GACGAACGCUGGCGGCGUGCUUAACACAUGCAAGUCGAACGGAAAGGCCCUUCGGGGUACUCGAGUGGCGAACGGGUGAGUAACACGUGGGUGAUCUGCCCUGCACUUUGGGAUAAGCCUGGGAAACUGGGUCUAAUACCGAAUAGGACCACGCGCUUCAUGGUGUGUGGUGGAAAGCUUUUGCGGUGUGGGAUGGGCCCGCGGCCUAUCAGCUUGUUGGUGGGGUAAUGGCCUACCAAGGCGACGACGGGUAGCCGGCCUGAGAGGGUGACCGGCCACACUGGGACUGAGAUACGGCCCAGACUCCUACGGGAGGCAGCAGUGGGGAAUAUUGCACAAUGGGCGCAAGCCUGAUGCAGCGACGCCGCGUGAGGGAUGACGGCCUUCGGGUUGUAAACCUCUUUCAAUAGGGACGAAGCGCAAGUGACGGUACCUAUAGAAGAAGCACCGGCCAACUACGUGCCAGCAGCCGCGGUAAUACGUAGAGUGCGAGCGUUGUCCGGAAUUACUGGGCGUAAAGAGCUCGUAGGUGGUUUGUCGCGUUGUUCGUGAAAACUCACAGCUUAACUGUGGGCGUGCGGGCGAUACGGGCAGACUAGAGUACUGCAGGGGAGACUGGAAUUCCUGGUGUAGCGGUGGAAUGCGCAGAUAUCAGGAGGAACACCGGUGGCGAAGGCGGGUCUCUGGGCAGUAACUGACGCUGAGGAGCGAAAGCGUGGGGAGCGAACAGGAUUAGAUACCCUGGUAGUCCACGCCGUAAACGGUGGGUACUAGGUGUGGGUUCCUUCCUUGGGAUCCGUGCCGUAGCUAACGCAUUAAGUACCCCGCCUGGGGAGUACGGCCGCAAGGCUAAAACUCAAAGGAAUUGACGGGGGCCCGCACAAGCGGCGGAGCAUGUGGAUUAAUUCGAUGCAACGCGAAGAACCUUACCUGGGUUUGACAUGCACAGGACGCCGGCAGAGAUGUCGGUUCCCUUGUGGCCUGUGUGCAGGUGGUGCAUGGCUGUCGUCAGCUCGUGUCGUGAGAUGUUGGGUUAAGUCCCGCAACGAGCGCAACCCUUGUCCUAUGUUGCCAGCGGGUUAUGCCGGGGACUCGUAGGAGACUGCCGGGGUCAACUCGGAGGAAGGUGGGGAUGACGUCAAGUCAUCAUGCCCCUUAUGUCCAGGGCUUCACACAUGCUACAAUGGCCGGUACAAAGGGCUGCGAUGCCGUGAGGUGGAGCGAAUCCUUUCAAAGCCGGUCUCAGUUCGGAUCGGGGUCUGCAACUCGACCCCGUGAAGUCGGGGUCGCUAGUAAUCGCAGAUCAGCAACGCUGCGGUGAAUACGUUCCCGGGCCU
rnacentral:rRNA from 1 species